AUGCGUCAGAGGCCAGUCGGCAGAGGUGCAUGCAGGGAGGGUCGUCGAAGAGAAGGACGGCGGCCCAGCCUACACAUGAUGGAACACACAUUGCCGACGAUGCGGUACCAGGCCUGGAGAAGAGAUCCCGAGGUGUUUGAUGAAAUGACCUUCGUCCGAAAAUACUUGUCAUCAAAAUGA
rnacentral:rRNA from 1 species